rnacentral:rRNA from 1 species
GAUGAACGCUGGCGGCGUGCCUAAUACAUGCAAGUCGAGCGAACGGACGAGAAGCUUGCUUUUCUGAUGUUAGCGGCGGACGGAUGAGUAACACGUGGAUAACCUACCUAUAAGGCUGGGAUAACUUCGGGAAACCGGAGCUAAUACCGGAUAAUAUUUUGAACCGCAUGGUUCAAAAGUGAAAGACGGUCUUGCUGUCACUUAUAGAUGGAUCCGCGCUGCAUUAGCUAGUUGGUAAGGUAACGGCUUACCAAGGCAACGAUGCAUAGCCGACCUGAGAGGGUGAUCGGCCACACUGGAACUGAGACACGGUCCAGACUCCUACGGGAGGCAGCAGUAGGGAAUCUUCCGCAAUGGGCGAAAGCCUGACGGAGCAACGCCGCGUGAGUGAUGAAGGUCUUCGGAUCGUAAAACUCUGUUAUUAGGGAAGAACAUAUGUGUAAGUAACUGUGCACAUCUUGACGGUACCUAAUCAGAAAGCCACGGCUAACUACGUG